rnacentral:tRNA from 1 species
GGAGAUGUGUCCGAGCUGGCUUAAGGAGCACGAUUGGAAAUCGUGUGGGUGUUAGUAGCGCCUCUAGGGUUCAAAUCCCUACAUCUCCGCCA